CCUACGGGAGGCUGCAGUGAGGAAUAUUGGUCAAUGGACGAGAGUCUGAACCAGCCAAGUAGCAUGAAGGAUGACUGCCCUAUGGGUUGUAAACUUCUUUUAUAAAGGAAUAAAACGAGGCACGUGUGCCUUUUUGCAUGUACUUUAUGAAUAAGGAUCGGCUAACUCCGUGCCAGCAGCCGCGGUAAUACGGAGGAUCCGAGCGUUAUCCGGAUUUAUUGGGUUUAAAGGGAGCGUAGAUGGGUUGUUAAGUCAGUUGUGAAAGUUUGCGGCUCAACCGUAAAAUUGCAAUUGAUACUGGCAGUCGUGAGUACAGUUGAGGUAGGCGGAAUUCGUGGUGUAGCGGUGAAAUGCUUAGAUAUCACGAAGAACCCCGAUUGCGAAGGCAGCUUACUAAACUGUGACUGACAUUGAUGCUCGAAAGUGUGGGUAUCAAACAGGAUUAGAUACCCCAGUAGUC
rnacentral:rRNA from 1 species